GGGCCCGCACAAGCGGUGGAGCAUGUGGUUUAAUUCGAUGAUACGCGAGGAACCUUACCAGGGCUUAAAUGGGAGAUGACAGGGGCAGAGACGCCCUUUUCUUCGGACAUCUUUCAAGGUGCUGCAUGGUUGUCGUCAGCUCGUGCCGUGAGGUGUCAGGUUAAGUCCUAUAACGAGCGCAACCCCUACCGUUAGUUGCCAUCAGGUUAAGCUGGGGACUCUAAUGAAACUGCCUACGUAAGUAGAGAGGAAGGCGGGGACGACGUCAAGUCAUCAUGGCCCUUACGCCCAGGGCUACACACGUGCUACAAUGGUAGGUACAAUGAGAUGCCACUUGGUAACAAGGCGCAAA
rnacentral:rRNA from 1 species